AAGUCGUAAGGAUCAUUAACACGUAUCAACGUUAAACAACCCUGUGAACCUUGAACGUGCUCUCGCACACGCUCUAGCAGCAAUGGUAAUCAUUGUUGACCAGCUAUUGAGUCAGGGCCUCUGCUUUAAAACGAUGCGCCAGAGUAAGUGCGGCCUGGCAUUCUAGCAAUCUGUCAGUGGUUGCGCAAGGAUGGCGCAGUAAACGAUCGCUGUAGGCCCACACGGCCGGCGACCGGGCCUCUGUGCUUCGGCACCUAACGACCCCAUGUUUCGUCCCGGUGCGCUGUAACAACCGCACCACAAACUCGAACAACUGUUAACAAUGGAUAUCUUGGUUCUC
rnacentral:misc_RNA from 1 species